UACAGAGGGUGCAAGCGUUAAUCGGAAUUACUGGGCGUAAAGCGUGCGUAGACGGUUAUGUAAGUCAGAUGUGAAAGCCCCGGGCUUAACCUGGGAAUGGCAUUUGAGACUGCAUAGCUAGGGUGCGGAAGAGGGAAGCGGAAUUUCCGGUGUAGCGGUGAAAUGCGUAGAUAUCGGAAGGAACACCAGUGGCGAAAGCGGCUUCCUGGUCCAGCACCGACGUUCAGGCACGAAAGCGUGGGGAGCAAACAGG
rnacentral:rRNA from 1 species